CACGUAGGGCGCAAGCGUUGUCCGGAAUUAUUGGGCGUAAAGAGCUCGUAGGCGGUCUGUUGCGUCCGCUGUGAAAACUCGGGGCUUAACCCCGAGCCUGCAGUGGAUACGGGCAGACUAGAGGUAGGUAGGGGAGAAUGGAAUUCCCGGUGUAGCGGUGAAAUGCGCAGAUAUCGGGAGGAAGACCAGUGGCGAAGGCGGGUCUCUGGACAGUUCCUGACACUGAGACACGAAGGCCAGGGGAGCAAACGGG
rnacentral:rRNA from 1 species